rnacentral:rRNA from 1 species
GCUGGCGGCAGCCUAACAAUGCAAGUCGAACGGUAACAUUUCUAGCUUGCUAGAAGAUGACGAGUGGCGGACGGGUGAGUAAUGCUUGGGAACUUGCCUUUGCGAGGGGGAUAACAGUUGGAAACGACUGCUAAUACCGCAUAAUGUCUUCGGACCAAAUGGGGCUUCGGCUCCGGCGCAAAGAGAGGCCCAAGUGAGAUUAGCUAGUUGGUAAGGUAACGGCUUACCAAGGCGACGAUCUCUAGCUGUUCUGAGAGGAAGAUCAGCCACACUGGGACUGAGACACGGCCCAGACUCCUACGGGAGGCAGCAGUGGGGAAUAUUGCACAAUGGGGGGAACCCUGAUGCAGCCAUGCCGCGUGUGUGAAGAAGGCCUUCGGGUUGUAAAGCACUUUCAGUUGUGAGGAAAAGUUAGUAGUUAAUACCUGCUAGCCGUGACGUUAACAACAGAAGAAGCACCGGCUAACUCCGUGCCAGCAGCCGCGGUAAUACGGAGGGUGCGAGCG